rnacentral:rRNA from 1 species
UGAAGUAAAAGUCGUAACAAGGUCUCCGUUGGUGAACCAGCGGAGGGAUCAUUA